GACGAACGCUGGCGGCGUGCCUAACACAUGCAAGUCGAGCGAUGAAAUCCCUUUGGGGAUGGAUUAGCGGCGGACGGGUGAGUAACACGUGGGUAACCUGCCUCAAAGAGGGGGAUAGCCUCCCGAAAGGGAGAUUAAUACCGCAUAACAUUAUUUUCUCGCAUGAGAAGAUAAUCAAAGGAGCAAUCCGCUUUGAGAUGGACCCGCGGCGCAUUAGCUAGUUGGUGAGGUAACGGCUCACCAAGGCGACGAUGCGUAGCCGACCUGAGAGGGUGAUCGGCCACAUUGGAACUGAGACACGGUCCAGACUCCUACGGGAGGCAGCAGUGGGGAAUAUUGCGCAAUGGGGGAAACCCUGACGCAGCAACGCCGCGUGAGCGAUGAAGGUCUUCGGAUUGUAAAGCUCUGUCUUUGGGGACGAUAAUGACGGUACCCAAGGAGGAAGCCACGGCUAACUACGUGCCAGCAGCCGCGGUAAUACGUAGGUGGCAAGCGUUGUCCGGAUUUACUGGGCGUAAAGAGUAUGUAGGCGGAUAUUUAAGUCAGAUGUGAAAUUCCCGGGCUUGACCUGGGCGCUGCAUUUGAUACUGGAUAUCUAGAGUGUGGGAGAGGAAAGUGGAAUUCCUAGUGUAGCGGUGAAAUGCGUAGAGAUUAGGAAGAACACCAGUGGCGAAGGCGGCUUUCUGGACCAUAACUGACGCUGAGAUACGAAAGCGUGGGGAGCAAACAGGAUUAGAUACCCUGGUAGUCCACGCCGUAAGCGAUGAAUACUAGGUGUCGGGGGGUACCACCCUCGGUGCCGCAGCAAACGCAAUAAGUAUUCCGCCUGGGGAGUACGGUCGCAAGAUUAAAACUCAAAGGAAUUGACGGGGACCCGCACAAGCAGCGGAGCAUGUGGUUUAAUUCGAAGCAACGCGAAGAACCUUACCUAGACUUGACAUCUCCUGAAUUACUCGUAACUGAG
rnacentral:rRNA from 1 species